rnacentral:lncRNA from 1 species
CGCCAAACGAGGUAAAAAUUCUACCAUUUGCUCAGAAUUUGAUUCCAAACCCACCCAUGGCCAAAUUGAAGUGAAAUAACUGGCUAAUUAGCUAAAAAAUGCCAUCGAAACUCAGCGACACCGCCGCGGGGUGUUUCGGUUUUUGCCUCUGAUGAGGUCAUUUCUGAUUCCCGUUCGAUGUGAUUUUUUCACCGUUGUGAUCAUCGUUUCCUCCUCUACAAAUUGACCGGAGCAAAACACCCAACCGCAACUGAGCCAUAGGAGCCGCCGCAUCAGAGAGCCCCAGCGCCGAUGAGUUUCGGUUUUCUACGUUUUUUCAGCCCACCGAGGGCCCUAAGUGUAUUUUCUCACAUGAACUUAUGCAAGUUUGGCUGAAUUCGACCGAAAACGGCCGAAAACAUCCAAUCCGAGGCGAAUCGCCGCCGUGCCGGAAUUCUGAAAUUGGCCGAAUAGGC